GUGCAUACUGAACACGAAGAAUGAAGCUUACGAUCACCUUGGGGCUAAUUUCCAUGAUAGUUAUUCCGAGAGAAGGCCUGUCCGAGAAACUGAAUCUGUCUGAAGUAGCAGAAAAAUACCUUGAGGAACGAUUUCCUGGCAACUUGGAAAGCUGGAGCCUGACGGACGGGUACCGAUUGAGC
rnacentral:lncRNA from 1 species